rnacentral:tRNA from 1 species
GCCUGACUAGCUCAGUUCAUAGAGCAUGAGACUCUUAAUCUUAGGGUUGUGAGUUCAAGCCCUACAUUGGGCU